rnacentral:rRNA from 1 species
UGGGGAAUAUUGCACAAUGGGGGAAACCCUGAUGCAGCGACGCCGCGUGAGCGAUGAAGGCUUUCGAGUCGUAAAGCUCUGUCCUAUGGGAAGAUAAUGACGGUACCAUAGAAGAAAGCUCCGGCUAAUUACGUGCCAGCAGCCGCGGUAAUACGUAAGGGGCGAGCGUUGUCCGGAAUUAUUGGGCGUAAAGAGUGCGUAGGCGGCAAAUUAAGUCAGAUGUGAAAACUAAGGGCUCAACCCAUAGAUUGCAUCUGAAACUGAUAUGCUUGAGUCAAGGAGAGGAAAGUGGAAUUCCUAGUGUAGCGGUGGAAUGCGUAGAUAUUAGGAGGAAUACCGGUGGCGAAGGCGACUUUCUGGACUUGAACUGACGCUGAGGCACGAAAGCGUGGGGAGCAAACAGG